AAGAACCUCACCGUCGAUGAUGAAUCACAAUCCGAACAAUUCCUUUGAGAUCGCUCAGCAUCCAAGCGAUUCUGUUUCAAGCCUCUGUUUCAGUCCCAAAUCGAACUUUCUAGUCUCUACCUCUCGGGACAAUCAGAUCUUUACCUGUUAUAUGAUUUUGCAAUUGAGGGACUGGAUUGGUAGUUUGUGCUUGAAUUUGAGGCUUCUGUGGUGUUUGGGUUGGUAGCUCUCCUCGUAAAUCACCACGAGUAAAUCCAAAGAGUGAAAUGAGUUUUCUAAAGAGUAUUCUUUCCCUUUGCAUUUGUAGUAGUAUACUUCGAAAAUCAUGUGAAUUUGGAUUCUGAAGCCUCCAUUGACCAAGAGAUGAUUCAGCCAACCAAGAAGUGUUGAAAUGAAGUCUCGUGUUGAAGGUGGCAGAAUUAUGUCUAUGAGUUUAGAGCAUCACCAUUGAAAAAUGACAGUAGCAUUACAACAUUGACAGUAGCUUUAUGUAACUAUUGUACUAGAUUUUCACAGCUAUGGUAGUGGCUUUUUACAACUAUGGAAGUAGUUUUUUACAUAGUUACAUCAUUGUUGAAUCCUACAUAUUUUGUGUAUCAUUGAAUAUGUUUUAUGUUCUCUAUUACAGUAGCAUUUUUAUUUUGGCUGUAUACGUUAAAUUUC